rnacentral:misc_RNA from 1 species
GUAACUUCUAAAAUAGUGUAAUUCGAUUGCGGGAAAUGUUAUAAAUAACAAAAACAACACAUUUACGUACAAAAGGUAUUACAGAAAAUAACAUCGGGAACCAAAAAAAAAAGGACCUUUUUAUUGACGAAAUUACCCUCAACUCACAUCACGUGGUUGAUACAAUAUCAGCCUUUUCCCCAAGUCAUCAACUACUCGCCGGAAUGUCCAAAAGCGGUCACCGAUCGAUUAAUCUCCCGGCUAUCCCGAUGUACGAAAUUCUGUAACUAUAACUACAUUAGAUAUAAAUAGAAACUUGAAAUUUGUAGUUUCAGAUGGUACAUCCACAGAAAAGGAAGAAAAAACCGAGCAUAGAGACGAGAGCAAUAGAUUCAACGACGGAGAUGAUAGACCAGACAAUAGAGUCAACGAUGUUGAAAGGCAAGUCAAGGCCCGGCCAUGACCACCGCCGAGGGGAGGAGGCCGAAACGACGCCGUCGUGGCUUCUCGAACUCCCAUUCGGCGUGAAAUACGAAGUGAACAUCGUCGGCCACCGCAUAAAGGACGUCGGAAGUGAAAACCUCAGUCCGAUCCACCUGAAAGAUGACGUGGAGGACCGGAGCCACCCUGACUCCGCCAUUUAUCUGGUUUGUUUUUUUCUUUGAGAUAUUGUUAAUUGGCGGAAGGGAAUAUAAUAUUUUGAUUAUUAUACUCUUUGUCACAACUUACAAGAGGUUCUACCAAGUUUUAAAGUUGGGGGAUCUAUAUAUAGAAAAAAC